rnacentral:misc_RNA from 1 species
GAUGAAGAACGCAGCGAAAUGCGAUAAGUAAUGUGAAUUGCAGAAUUCAGUGAAUCAUCGAGUCUUUGAACGCACAUUGCGCCCCCUGGUAUUCCGGGGGGCAUGCCUGUCCGAGCGUCAUUGCUGCCCUCAAGCACGGCUUGUGUGUUGGGCCCCCGUCCCCGGUUUCCCCCGGGGACGGGCCCGAAAGGCAGCGGCGGCACCGCGUCCGGUCCUCGGGCGUAUGGGGCUUUGUCACCCGCUCUGUAGGCCCGGCCGGCGCCAGCCGACACCCAACUUUAUUUCUAAGGUUGACCUCGGAUCAGGUAGGGAUACCCGCUGAACUUAAGCAUAUCAAUAAGCGGAGGA